rnacentral:rRNA from 1 species
UAUGGUCCUGUUUCGGCAGGUUCCCAAUCAGAGCCAAUGUAUUUCAAAUGUUUCUAUUUAGAGGAAGGAGAAGUCGUAACAAGGUCUUCGUAGGUGAACGAAGGAUCA